UAUCUCUGCCAGCCUGCAUGAUGACCUGCUCAAAUGUCACAGCAGCAGCAGCAGCGAUCCAGGCAGUCUCCUAACAGAAAGAUAAAAAAGUCACCGGCUGCGGCCCGCGAUUAAGCCCCGCCCCUUGAGAACUGGCUCCGCCCCCUCUUCAAACACCCGCGAAUCACAGGUUGUGUAGACUGCAGUGCAGAGGGAGAAUCCGUCCUUGCUGUGCAGGUUGAUCUCUGCCUCCCUCCGUCCCUCGUCCACUGUGCAACGCUGCUGCUGCUCAUGCUGUUCCCAUUUUACACUGUUCCACCAAGGAAGAAGAAGGUCUCAAAGACCGAGAAGACCACUAGAGCUAUGUUCACCAUAAUGGUUGAGCAGCUGAGGGAGAGUUCAGCUAUGCAGGCGCAAGAAGAUACCCAUAUGUAGAGGUUCUUCGAUAAUGACUGGGAGCUACAAAACACAUUCAUGACCCAGCUAAUGUCAAUGCAUGAGUGUAUCAGCAGAGAGAAUAGAGAAAGUGCGAUGGCUUGCCUAGAUCAUCUAGUAUCUAGAGUCCAAGGUUUCACACCACAGCAACAACACUCCCCACACUAUUCUAGGGGAAGUUAUCCCAAUUACACCAGAGGGAAAAAUAAUUUUGACCCUAACACAGUAAGUACUUCACAUAAUCCUGACUACACGGGUUGUCGGAUGUUGCAGCAAAUCUUUUUUUUUUUAAAUUGCCUUUUUUUAGCCAAAUGCAUUAGGGAUGUUACAGUAGGUUAUUUAAAAA